GAAAUGCGAUAACUAGUGUGAAUUGCAGAAUUCCGUGAAUCAUCGAGUCUUUGAACGCACAUUGCGCCCCCUGGUAUUCCGGGGGGCAUGCCUGUCCGAGCGUCAUUGCUGCCCAUCAAGCACGGCUUGUGUGUUGGGUCGUCGUCCCCUCUCCGGGGGGGACGGGCCCCAAAGGCAGCGGCGGCACCGCGUCCGAUCCUCGAGCGUAUGGGGCUUUGUCACCCGCUCUGUAGGCCCGGCCGGCGCUUGCCGAACGCAAAUCAAUCUUUUUCCGGGUUGACCUCGGAUCAGGUAGGGAUACCCGCUGAACUUAAGC
rnacentral:misc_RNA from 1 species